AUAACCUGGAGGAAGGUGGGGAUGACGUCAAAUCAUCAUGCCCCUUAUGCUUAGGGCUACACACGUGCUACAAUGGGUAGUACAGAGGGUUGCCAAGCCGUAAGGUGGAGCUAAUCCCUUAAAGCUACUCUCAGUUCGGAUUGUAGGCUGAAACUCGCCUACAUGAAGCUGGAGUUACUAGUAAUCGCAGAUCAGAAUGCUGCGGUGAAUGCGUUCCCGGGUCUUGUACACACCGCCCGUCACACCACGGGAGUUGGAGACGCCCGAAGCCGAUUAUCUAACCUUUUGGAAGAAG
rnacentral:rRNA from 1 species